GAGCCCAAGGAAUCACUGCUGCCCCUCUCCUGUGGGUGGCUGGGGGUCCUCUUGUACCUGCUGUGCUGCUCCAGUUGAGCCCUGGACACCAACCACUCCUCCUCCAUGUUCCAGGGGCUUGGGAAGCUCGUUGGGAAACUGCUCCAAGGAGGCUUUGGGACCUUCCAGAGCAGAGGGGAGAUAUGUCCAUGUGUGACCUUCUUGACAGACAUUUUUGGCCCCAGAAUAGGCUGAUUUGGUGAAAGGAGAGCACGCAGCAGCCGACAGGGAGAGCUCUCACCACCCCCAGCGAGGCUGAGACUCGCUCUCGGGUUCCUCCCUUCAAGUUUGUCCCACUUUCUGGCCCACUAAAUGUCUGAUUGUCAACAUCAACAGUGAGAACUGCACAGCCUGUUCAGCACAGCUGGGAUGCACAGAGAUGAAUGAUGAGAGGACACUGUGUGUGCUGCCUGGCUCCCAGCUCCUGAAGCAACACCAGGCCCUGAACCACAAGUGUUGCCUUCCUUGCUGAGACAACCCCCAACACCCCUCCUUCCUGCUGCACUGCCCUGACUGAGGUGAAGAAUUGUGAUGACCAAAGUGGCAGCUUGGAAAAGGCCAAGCAGCCUGGGACUGCAGGGCAAGUGAGGGCUGAGGGCAAGUGAGGCUGGUGUCUCACCUCCAUCUCGCAGACCUGGGUCUGCAGCUGAAGACACCUCCCUUCCAGCUCUUCCAGGGUGGAUGAGUCAGGAGCACCUGAAAAAGAAGAGCUGAUGUUUCUGUGCACAGACUUAAAGAAGAGCUGUAGAUAAAACCUGUGACACAGCACAGACCCCCAGCAGCACCCUGCCUGCACUGUGAGUGACCUCAAGCGUGACACAGGAGCUGAACAUGAGCUCUGAGUGCUGGACUCUGACAGUUCAGCCUGCAGUGGUUUGACAAGGAUGCUGACAGACCAGGAGAUAGCUGUGAACGACACUGGCCAAGUUUUACGGUGCAGGAAGCUGAUUGUUGUCCCCUGGAGCAGGAGGGGAGGCUGCCUUGCACUGGAUUCCUGGUCCUAGGAGACAGCCUGGUAUCUUCUGAGAAGGAGCACGGAGAGCAUGGAAGGAAGAAA